GUUCCUACCUCAUAUAAGUCAUUAAUCCUGAAAAAAAUGCUAGUAAUAAAAAUGUGGAGGAAAAUAUGUGAGAAGUCCUUGGUAGGAUAUUGAUUUGCCUACCUCACCACUUUUGUUCAUUUCUAAGCACAACAUCAAUUCUUACAUCCUUCAGAAAUUCAUUCAUGGAGGCAAAAUCGAGCCCAAACCCACACUUUUCACAUAAAUAAGAUAGUAUCAGUCAACAUGCAUUGAUGAUGUAAGAAUUGUAAAUUGUUUUGCUUCCAUACUCUCAGGAUCUCAGUGGGUCCCACAGUUUUCUGGAAGCCUGUGUUUUUCCAAAACUAUGAUUAUGUGCAGUGACAUGCCAGUGGUUCGGCAUACUAUUUUCUGCUGACCUGCUUUGGGCAUGGUUUAUCUGAAGCACUCCACAGGCCCUCUUGAAGGAUUGUAAUGAAAUUAAGUGAAAGCAUAUAAUAGUAAGUAAAGAACAGGUUGCGGAAUUGUAACUUUGCUGUGUGUAUAAGCCAAGUAUCCCAUGAAUAUAAUCUUUCUGUAUGUAACUUAUUUUCCAGAUUUCUUUGCCUGCCUCCAGAAUGUUCAUAAUUAAAAAAACAUAAUGAGGUCAUCAGCACUAUUGAAAGUGCUCAUAAUUAGCAUCAGGAGAAGGGUGUUUCUGUGAGUGCAGAUGGACCACAGUGCAGAUGGAGCAUGCAUAUUGCCAGAGCACAAUUCCUAUCACUGGGAAUCUCAAAGACGAAAGCAAAAUCUUCAAGAAGGCUGACUGGAAAUGUGCUUGUUGUCCUCUGUUUUCGUGUAUAAUAGAUGAGAACAGAUAUUAUGAUUUGAUUAUUUUAGCACAAACAAGCAAAGAGACGCUGGAAUAAAGGAUUACACUCAUGAUAAUAUAACUUUUCUGUUUGUUUUGUAAUAAGAUUGAGAGAAAGAGUAGGGGAAGGCCAAUUUACAUACUGGAUCUAAUGACUGUAUCCUCAUCACUAUGAUAUGGAAAGGACAUAAGAUGGAGAGAGGUAGAUGAGCAGAAGAACAACAAACUCAGUGACUGGUAUUGUUAGGAAGCUGUUCAGUUUGUGGAGAGCUUCUCCAUGAAGUACUGCUAGAAUCAUAGAAUAGUAAGGUGGCUUAAUUUGGAAGGGGCCUUAAAGACUCCCCCACCAUCAGCAGGGUUGUCAUCUACUAGGUCAUGCUGCCCAGGGCCUGAUUUUAGUGUCAAAGACAAAGAAUAUUUUUUCUAAUGUGAAGCUUGUGUCUUCGGAAGUUGCUUUAAACGAAAAGUUUAGUUGCUAAAAUGUUUCACUUUUAUCUUAGCUGUACAUCCCUGCAUCACUGUGGCACAGGAGUUCAUAACUUGUGAUUGGCAGGGUCUUGUGAGCUGCUCAGAUGCUGUCUCUUGGUUUGAGCCCCUCUUCAUGACCUGGUCAACCAAAAACAUAGCUUCAAGUUUGUCCUGAGUUGAGCUUUUGCAUCCCACAGAAGAAGAAAGACAUCAUGUGGAUGAUAUGGGCUGUCUCAUCAAAACUGUUGCCUUUGGUUCUCUUAGGUGGGAGAUCUGAGCUGUUUGGUUCUUGUCUGGAGAACUAACCUGUCCAGGUGGCUUGGUCCUCUCUUCUCAAGUGUGUGUCAUAACUAGCACCAUGCUAUGAUGCCAUCACAUUCCCAUAACCACUGCUUCUCAAAUGGAGUAGCUUUUCCAUGUGACCAACCAUCUGCCAGUAGUGGACCAAGUUUGCAUUAAGAUGAUAUAGAAAUUAACAUGAAGUCUAGAAAUAGAUAGCAGGGAAGAUUUAAAAAACACUUUAAAAUCAAGGUCUAGGAGAAUGGUAAUUCUGAUAGGCUAUGAAAUAUUAGAUUCUUGAUGUAAUGUUGCUGACAUAUCAAUUAAAGUACUUAAAUUUAUAUACUUUUGAGCUUAGAAUUCAUAAUAAAGUUAGAAAAUGCUGUUUGGGACUUUGUAAG
ensembl:lncRNA